AGAAGGACCACAGCCAUCGCCCGUCUCCCAUCUCCAAGAUGGCGGAGGCAGCUUCAACUUCAACCUCUCGCGAGGAAUUCGUUCCCCUGUCUCUGAUUAGCACCGAGGUCAGAGGUAUCCCAUGGCUGGUGAGAGCCCGGGUGCCGCAGCGGAGGGGGUGAGAAGCUCCGCCCCAGCCCCGCCCAGUGUCCCCCGCUGGGCCUGCAGGCAGCGAUUCUCACUCCGGUGCCUAACUCCUUGCUGCGCGCCCCUCUCCUGUGUAGAUCACAGCCUGCCUGGAAGCCUGGAUAGAGGGCUGUUGAGGAUUUCACGUCUCUUACACCCUCUCCCCGCCGCCUUUGAAUGCUGGUUGUUUCUCCAGGGUUCCAGCUUCUGCCCGCCCCUCCCUCCGAGCACUCUGCCGCUUUGUUUAAUCAAAUGCCGUAAUUCCCAAAACCUUAACAUUUCUUAACGUAAAUCUGUUAAUGCCUUUGG